rfam:Schistocephalus solidus strain NST_G2 genome assembly, scaffold: SSLN_contig0008484
UGGCUCAAUGGUAGAGCGUUUGACUCAAAUACAAAAGGUCGCGGGUUCAAAUCCCAG